rnacentral:rRNA from 1 species
UAUUAAUACCGCAUACGACCUACGGGAGAAAGGGGGCAGUUUACUGCUCUCGCUAUUAGAUGAGCCUAAGUCGGAUUAGCUAGAUGGUGGGGUAAAGGCCUACCAUGGCGACGAUCUGUAGCUGGUCUGAGAGGAUGAUCAGCCACACCGGGACUGAGACACGGCCCGGACUCCUACGGGAGGCAGCAGUGGGGAAUAUUGGACAAUGGGGGAAACCCUGAUCCAGCCAUGCCGCGUGUGUGAAGAAGGCCUUUUGGUUGUAAAGCACUUUAAGCAGUGAAGAAGACUCUUCGGUUAAUACCCGGAGACGAUGACAUUAGCUGCAGAAUAAGCACCGGCUAACUCUGUGCCAGCAGCCGCGGUAAUACAGAGGGUGCAAGCGUUAAUCGGAAUUACUGGGCGUAAAGGGAGCGUAGGUGGCUCUAUAAGUCAGAUGUGAAAUCCCCGGGCUUAACCUGGGAACUGCAUCUGAAACUGUAGAGCUAGAGUAUGUGAGAGGGAGGUAGAAUUUCAGGUGUAGCGGUGAAAUGCGUAGAGAUCUGAAGGAAUACCGAUGGCGAAGGCAGCCUCCUGGCAUAAUACUGACACUGAGGCUCGAAAGCGUGGGUAGCAAACAGGAUUAGAUACCCUGGUAGUCCACGCCGUAAACGAUGUCUACUAGUCGUUGGGUCCCUUGAGGACUUAGUGACGCAGCUAACGCAAUAAGUAGACCGCCUGGGGAGUACGGCCGCAAGGUUAAAACUCAAAUGAAUUGACGGGGGCCCGCACAAGCGGUGGAGCAUGUGGUUUAAUUC